rnacentral:pre_miRNA from 1 species
UUCUAUUAACAGUUGAGGGGAAUGUUGUCUGGUUCGAUGUCAUUCAUCUGAAGCUCAAAUUAACCUUAACUGAAUGAUUUCGGACCAGGCUUCAUUCCCCCCAACAGGGUUUGAUUUGAU